GACGAACGCUGGCGGCGUGCUUAACACAUGCAAGUCGAACGGAAAGGCCCUGCUUUUGUGGGGUGCUCGAGAGGCGAACGGGUGAGUAACACGUGAGUAACCUGCCCUUGACUUUGGGAUAACUUCAGGAAACUGGGGCUAAUACCGGAUAGGAGCUCCUGCUGCAUGGUGGGGGUUGGAAAGUUUCGGCGGUUGGGGAUGGACUCGCGGCUUAUCAGCUUGUUGGUGGGGUAGUGGCUUACCAAGGCUUUGACGGGUAGCCGGCCUGAGAGGGUGACCGGCCACAUGGGGACUGAGAUACGGCCCAGAAUGCUACGGGAGGCAGCAGUGGAGAAUAUUGCACAAUGGGCGGAAGCCUGAUGCAGCAACGCCGCGUGCGGGAUGACGGCCUUCUGGUUGUAAACCGCUUUCGCCUGUGACGAAGCGUGAGUGACGGUAAUUGGUAAAGAAGCACCGGCUAACUACGUG
rnacentral:rRNA from 1 species